rnacentral:rRNA from 1 species
AGCAGCCGCGGUAAUUCCAGCUCCAAUAGCGUAUAUUAAAGUUGUUGCAGUUAAAAAGCUCGUAGUUGAAUUUCGGGAUCAAUUUGUUGGUCGUGCCUCGGUACGUACUGGCAUUAUUGGUUUCUACCUUCUGAAGAACCUUGAUGUCAUUAAUUUGGUGUCUUGGGGAAUCAGGACUGUUACUUUGAAAAAAUUAGAGUGUUUAAAGCAGGCAUACGCUUGAAUACAUUAGCAUGGAAUAAUGAAAUAGGACGUUUGAUUCUAUUUUGUUGGUUUCUAGGAUCGACGUAAUGAUUAAUAGGGAUAGUUGGGGGCAUUAGUAUUCAAUUGUCAGAGGUGAAAUUCUUGGAUUUAUUGAAGACUAACUACUGCGAAAGCAUUUGCCAAGGAUGUUUUCAUUAAUCAAGAACGAAAGUUAGGGGAUCGAAGACGAUCAGAUACCGUCGUAGU